rnacentral:lncRNA from 1 species
GAGACCACGUACAGAGCCGGUUAGACAAGGAAAGCUGAGGAGUUAUGGAGGAGGAGCCGACCAUGGCCUCCGGCCGGCCUCCUCACCCCGGUUACGCACUUGCCCGGUUAUGAUCGUAGUGGUGUCGCACGAAGACGUGGAUUUCCUCCCACAGGCUGCUCCGUUGUGAAAGGGGGUGUCGCCAGCAACAGACGACGGCGCCAUUGCUGUUCUCCGACGACACACCUCUUUUGGCACGCUCACCACUAUUUUCUACAGAUCGAGAAUCAAUGACGACGACGGUUGUUUCCGGCCACUCCCGUUCGUAGUGUAUGCUGAAAACCCUAGCUGAUGAUUAGAGAUGACAUCCAAAUGAAGAACUGGAGUCUGGAACAAUAAGCAUGUAUCUUUACAUCCCCGACAUUAUUGUAGCUGCAGCUGUAUACAUGGAUUAUAGAGUCAACUUACGGAUGGUGACUUCCUAUUAAUUUCUUAGUAGCUGAAAAUGGUUAACUGAUCAGCUAUCGACGCUCAGAUCAAAUGUUCCCAAAAUAAGCAAGGUGGAUGGAUAAAGAUUAAUACUGGGGCUACAAUACGGAUACGCUGAUCCAGAUUUGUUGUUUGAUGAAACGAGGACCGUUAUCAACAAUGAGCACACUUGAAGCCAUGGUUCACUUGGUUUAGACAUUCAACAAUGGGUCAUCAGUUAUUUUAAUGGUUGUUUAUUUCAAAGUUCAUAUUCUAAGGUGUGUUUCUAUUAAAAAUGUGCAUCUCUUUAUCUAUCUUAACUAUAUAUGCACAUGUAAUUAUAAUAAAUCCUAAAUUUGCAUGAUAUUUAGUCACAGGAUCAUCGAUCGACGAUGACUACAAUGAAUUGUGAUGACUUGAACCA